GUGCAUGCAAUUGAGUAGAUUCGAAACCCGAGAGAACAUUGUAAACAUCUUGACCACGCCCUUACUUUGCCUUGUGGAAUCUGGCUAUAAAAUAAAGACUCAGCUUGUAGGCUGUGGCACUGUCUCUCCAUCUGAGAGCAGCGUCCCACCUAGCCCCAGCUUUAUUCUCUUGUCUGUCUUCUUUAAUCCUUCACCGCCCCUCCUCAGGUUCACCCCUGGCCGUGCUGAGUGUGGCACAGUUCUCAGGUGAGGAUAAAAAAUAAAUAAACUUCAAGGAAGAAAAUGAUGCCAACAGUAUGGUGUCAUUUGCAAGAAAUGAUGAGAUUUGGUUGCUGAUGAAGAUGCUACUUAACUGAAGUUCUGUACUGUUGGAAUAUCUUCAUAACGAAACUUCAGAUUUUUGUUCUGACACAAAUUUGUACUUUAUGAAACCUUGGAUAAACAGGAACAGAGGACAAGACAGAAAUUUCACCAGAGAAUUGAAACCUAUCAACAGAGUCACAUGGAAAUUACAGGACUGAAAAAUUAACCGAAAUUAAGCAUCCCAUCGUGGGCUGCACAUCUUAUACAGCAGAAGAGAGAAUUCAUGACGAGGAAGACAGCACAGGAGAUUUGCCUGUGAUGCUCCUCAAAGGAGUGGCCGUCUCGUCAGAACUUCCUGCAGUCGGCAGUGGGCCUGUGUCACCUGCAGCGAUGGCGAGGAGCCCCCGGCUGGCGCUGCUGCCUAGUUGUCCUCACAGGCCCUCCGUGCCCCCCGCCAGCUGGAUCGCCAGCCACCCUCCAGCUCUGAAUGACCUUGGGCGUCCUUUUCCUCGUCUGUAAAAGAAGAGUUUCAGACCACGGAUCACUGAGGUUUCUUCCAGCAC